UCUGAAUCAUAGUUACGACUGCUGUUUAGGAUCAACAGAGUUAGCCUAUGUAAUAAAGAGGCUUCAGAAUUCUGGCUACUUGACCUCUCUGUUCUCUAAUUGUUAAAAAGAAUCUAAAGACAGAAAGGAGUGGCACAAACUUUACCCCAGCAGGAACCCAGCAUUUCCAGACGCUAACUACAGAUUCUGUCCCUCAAGUGAGAUGCCCGUUAUAGCUCAGCCAAAAGCCAUUUUUAGUAUCCUCCUCUUCAAAGCUGCCUCACUGAGCUGGUUAAGUGCUGGGAUAUGAGGAACUGACCAUGCUAAGAUGGACUUCUGUGUUAAAUCUUUCAGAGCUGGCAAAUUUAGAAUAACCUGAAGAGCCAUGUUAUAUCUGUACUCCUUAUCAAAGAAGCGUCAGGGUAAAGAGUUAACGCCGGAGUUGGGUUUUGCUGGAGGGCUGAAUUAUUUAAUUGUUAGCUAUUCCGAGUUCCACAGUGAAGUAGAAGUAACAGAAUUAUCUGCCUCUCAGUGUAAGACCAUCUUCCCAGAAGGUCAGAGGGCAUUGGCAGCCUUGUGUUUAUUUGCUGGAUGUUCUGGGAUUUACAGUGCAGUGUGCACUGCUUUUGAGAAGUCAGCCAUGCAAGUACAUUCUACACAGUUGUGAAUAGUAGGUUGGGUAUAUGCUUACCCAUAAAGUGUCAAACUUGAGACCUACUCCUUUAGUUCUAGCCUGGAAACUAUAGCUAUGGGAAUACAGGGCCGUAUUCUGAGCUGAGCUUUGGCCUAGACCUACUUGGGCAAGUUAUAACUUCUUAGUGCCACACUUUGCCCAUCUGUAUGGGAGAAUAGUAACAACCCUCCAUCACAGGGUUGCCGAGAGACAGAGUCAGCUUGGACCAGAGUAAGGGCAGAGACAAGGGUAACCACUCUUGUUCUCACUCACGGGGAGAUGGAAAGAAACGACUCAAAAUUUCCACCGGCAGGCAUUUUAUAUCUUUAAAAAUAACUGUCAGAGUCGACAGUUUGAAAUUGAUGGUGAUCUUAAAUAAAAUUAAUGAAGCCUGCCGUGAAGUAACACCAGCCAUCAGUGUGUUUUUGAAACAGCGAAUUCAAAACGAUGAAAACCCUUUUACUCCAACAAAGAACUUGGCCUCCUCUGGAAGCUUGCUAUGUGUCAGGCAUAUGUAAUGGCGUUGAGCCUCGCUUCACCCUGGCACUGCCAUCUGCAUACUGUAAGAGAGGCAGAAGCUCUAAGGAGCAGUAGCUUUGAGCCUCCUGGACCCAAAGGGAUUUGGCAGGAACUGUGGCAACAUGUGGUCUCCUGAUAUGGAUUUUUUCUCCGAUAGUAGCUAAGCAUGGGACCUCUUGUUCAUCUGUCAAUGUCCUGUGACUCACUUUGUGGUCCUACAACAAUGAGAACAUGUUGGAAAGGCUGGAGAAACUGUUAGAAGAUUUACAGUAAAAUUGUGAACACACAUGCAUAUGUUCCCUCAACCCAUGUCUCCGUGUUCUCUGCUCCAAUGGUCAAUAUUUAUAUUCACAAGUUUUAUAGCACAGUGCUGUCAUUAUUGCAGAAUUAUUGGAACAAGGCAAUGCGUGCCUUUGGAUUGGAGGGAAGCCUGAAGUUUCUAGGGUUGUAGUCCAUCAUCCAGGGAAGUCUGAGAAGGAACUCAAACCAGGAUCCCAGAGGUAGGAACUGAAAGAAAAGUCAUGGAGGAGUGCUGCUUACUGGCUUUUCCUCAUGGCUUGCUUACCCUGCUUUUCUUACCACCAGCCCAGGGGUGGCACAUUCCACAAUGAGGUAGUCCCUCUUAUAUGAAUCAGUGAACAUGAACAUGUACCAUAGGCUUUCCCACAGGCCAAUCUGGUAGGGCCAUUUUCUCAUUCGAUAUUUUCAUUUCUUACAUUACUGUAGCUGUAUGUCAAGUUGCCAUAAUCAAGCCAGCACAUUGGGUUCCUGGUAAUGGUCACUGAGAUAAUGUGGGCCCCUUGAAUGGCACUCCUGAUAGUGCAAAACAAAUGGUGAGUCUUGGGGUGCACAGAUUUAACUAGAAACACAAAUAUUCAGAAGCUAAACCCUACCUGCAACAUGCAGUGGCAUCUCAGAACUCCUCAGGAAGAAGCCUCUAGAAUUUUGCAUUUUGAAACUGAGUUGUACAUUCAGUAGCAGUUUGGCCACCUGGAGAGCAGACUACCAUCUCCAAUCUAACUCAACUUCAUGCCCCACCUCUGAAAACAGGUAUGGCUUCCAACAUACAAUGUAAAGAAAAAGACCAAUAAUUGGCCUCUUCUGCUCACAGGGCAUGAUAAUUUCAUCCUAGGUAGCCUCAUAUUAUCCUGCACUGUGUGUCCUUUUAAUCCUACCUUAGUUUUUUGUUUGUGUGUUUAUAUAUAUAUAUAUAAAACUUAACUUUUUAGAGCAGCUUUAUGUUUAGAGCAAAACUAAGCAGAGAGUUCAAGUGUGUCCCAGUCUAUGUGCAUGGCUUUCCACCACCAUCAGCGUUCUCCACCAGAAUGGCAUGUCUGUGAAAGUUAAUGAGCCUAUGCCACACACAGCACCUCACUGAAGUCCACGGUGUACACUAAGGCUUUGGUUUAAUGCAGCACAGUCUAUGAGUUCAGUAGACUUCCACCAUGUAUAUUUCACUGUGGUAUCUCAGGGUAGCCAGACUGCUCUGCUCCAAACCCCCUUCCCCCAUCUCUGGUAACAAUUCAUCUCCAUAGUUUUGCUUUUCUGGGCAGGUGACACUUCUUAUUUGCAGCUCUGCUUGGCAUAUUUCUACUGGCUCUGACACCUCUACCAUCCAAUGUAAAUCAAGCUUCACGUUCACAGCUACACACAUGAGCCCAUAGGACCUCCAUGCCUGGAUUCCUUUUCCAUGACCCUGAACUCCGAGGCUCUCUGGGACUGCAGAGGAAGAUUCCACAACCUUAUUACGGGUGUAGAAAAUGACUUUGGCCUCUUCUCAUUUCACAAAUCAGAAGCUCAGCUGGGUGAGGGUCUUGCCGUGAAGCACUCCUUCCAUUGCUUCAAUGGGAACCAGGCCUCUUGUUAGUCUAUUCAUUACAAGCCUUGGCUCCAAAAAUAAAUUUAUUUGAGUCAUUAUUCCCUUCACACUGUACUUUCAUAGUUCUUUCUGCCAAAAUCCUUCUUUUUAUCUUAGACCUUCAUAAGAGCGAAUAUUAAUAACUUAACUAUACAGUAGAGUUAAUACUAGGCUCUCUUGGAAUCUCCUCCAACAAAAUUUAGUCCACUAGUUUUUAAUUUAGCAUCAAGGUCAGGCAAAUCCUUAGGACAAAGACAGAAAGCAGACACAUCCUUUGAUAAUAUACGGUUAGAAUAAUCUCUUGAACUGAACUUCCAUAAUCCGCAUAGAUUGUUGUCCAAGUUCUUCCUAGUAAUCUGUUGAGCUCUGCUUAAAACAUCCAACUUCUUUUCUACUAUGAGACCUCCCAGUCUUCCAUAUUCCUCUAAAAAACAACAUGCUCAAGUUCUUCACAGAGACAGCCCACUUCCUGGAACCGACAUUUGUAUUAGUUACUGUUCUAUUGAUGUGAUAGACACCAUGACCAAAGAAGCUUAUAGAAGAAAUCAUUUAUUCUGGGCUAACCCCCUAGAGGGUUGGAGUCCAUGCAAGCACAGUGGAGGUAGGAGAAAGAGAGAGCUAACUCAAGGUGUCAUGAUCUUUUGAAACCAUGAAACCUAUCCCCAGGGACAUACUUCUUCCAGCAGGGACACACCUCCUAGUCCUCCCCAAGCAGACACCAACUGGGGAUCAAGUAUUGUAGAAGACAUCUCUCCAACCAUCACAGUGCUUACUCUUCCUUACAUAAUGUCUGUUGGUUUGUUUGCUUCUCCCAUUGCAUGAAGGCAGUGCCAACCCUCAGGGCUCAACUAUGCCUGGCUGAGAACUUAGUUAAUGAAUAAAUCAUAAAAAUGGCUUGCAUCCUUCUGCUACCAUUAGAAACUGAUGACUAGAGAUCCAAAAGGGGCAAGGAAAAUCUUAGUUGUUGUUUUUCUUAUUUGCACAUGCCAAGCUCCACACAGAACUCCUCAUGGCUAUUUAAUCUGGCCAGCAUAACUGCCUGGAGGUAGGUAUCGCUUUAACAGGUAACAUAGGGAGUGUAUAAGAAAUAGAGCCAAUACAUGCAGGUAAGAAAGUGAGGCUCUGAGACCUUAUCCUUGGUCACACAGCUAAUGCUCAAAUUCAGGCCCUUCAGAUGCCCAAGCUGAAGUUCUUUAACUGGUUUAGAAUUAGAGGAAAUGUAAUGGUCAUUCACUCUACUCGUUGGAUUUGUAAUACAGCUGGUAAAUUUACUGCCAUGAUGCUCACUGUUAUUUGUUUAACAUCAUGCAGCACCUACCUAUGGCUGGCUACAUGCUUUAGGGUGUUAACCUGGCUGUUCUCAGAAAAUUGCCAACUUUCUGCUCUCCUCAAGAGUUCCCUGAUUGGCAUCCAGGCUUUGAAGAAAUUGUGAAGGGAUGAAACAGCAGCCAGAAAAAAAAGAAAAAAAAAAAAAAGAAAAAAAAAAGAAAAAAGGGCUGGCUGCAGCAGAGGGUGAAUAAGCCAGGCUCUAGCUCCCACACAGUAUAAAAUAUUCUCUUUCAACAGUGCACAGAAAUUUCAGGGUUUUUCAUUGUUGUUGCUCUUGCUCUUACCAUGACUCAGUAACAGGGUAGGUACCCAGGAUGUCAGCCCUUCCUACUGUAGUGGGUAGAUUUCCAUAAUAGAAUGCAGUCGGUAACACAUCUGUAAUCCUGCGAGAAUGAUAACGGCAUUGCCGGGGAAAGCUGAUGUUUGAUUACAAAUCGCAGGAGUACUACAGCAUUUCUACCAGUUGUGGAUGGUCGAUCCAGCACAACUUGAGGCUGCUGCCUUCCUCCAUUAGGGAACAAAGUGUCUGCACUGGAAUAUCUCUGUCCCAAGCUCAACCCUUAUUACCCACUUCACCGUUUACAAACAUGUAUUUAUGCCAAGGAAGGAAUGUAGCUCCUCUAGGCAUCUCGACCCUCCCAGCAAGGGCUGCAUCCAAAAGCUGAUUGCCCCUGAGCAUCUGAGGAUGAAUUCAGGGAUCUAUCAGAGCAUUUGUUUUCUGCUUUGUCAUAUAUAUAACUGGCAAGUCCAGCCAGCAAGAUGUUCCAGGAGGAAGUCUUCCUGUGCCUGGAAUGCAGAAAGACCAGUUUCUCGGAUUUCUCUUCUCACCCUCCCCCAAGUCCCCACUCUCCAUAGCUGCCCUUCCUUUCCCAUUUGUUCCAAAGUUAUAUGCAGACUAUAAUUAUGUGUAUUUCCUUUCAUGCUGUUUAGAAUCAUACAGCGUUUUUCUGCAUCGAGAAUAGGUGCAAUUCAUUCCCGUUUCCUCUUCUCCAUUGUAACCCAAGCUGCUGCCUUGUUCUUACCCAUUGAUUCCUACCCGACCCACAACAAUCGAAUGGAAAUACAAUAGCUCCAACCUGACAUCCAUUUAAAUCACCUGCUAAGGUGCUGAUAGGCAGUGAUGACUUCUUAGCACAGCAGUUAGUGGGGGAAUUGUAUCGGUACUGCAAUGUGCUUUUUCGGGAAUGGGCUAUGCUUCGCUGCAUCAACAAUUCAACGACACUGUAAGAAGUUGGUAGAGAUGAGCACACUGAAUGUCACCCAACAUCUUUCUCUGUGUUCAAAUCUUCAUAAUGCCAGCUCAUUCUUUUGUCCUUCCUAUGAACUCGUAUUUUUUCUUAAUCCUUUAAAAGAUUAAAGUUUUAAUAUAUGUGCAUGAGGCAGAAUUCAUAGAACUGAGGUGGCUUUUCCAAGGUCUCAUUGCUGGCCAAUGAUGGUGGAUAUAGCAAUUGUAUGGCCCCAUAGUGAUGUGUUGUGAAGAGCCAGUAGGUAUCUGGCAGGCUCAUCUGAGAGCUGAUGAUGGAAGGGACUUUCUUCCUUUGACUAGCUGAAAAUGUAGAGAAACGAGAAUAUUAUAGUCAGUGGGCUGGGCUUUUAUUUCGUAUUUUUUGUCCUUUUUUAACUAAUGGGCUUGUUCUUGUUUGCUUUAAUUUAAAGAUGGUCUAUAGAGCAGUGGGUUUCGUUGAGACAUUUCCUGUGCACACCUUGGUACUCUCUUCUUCUGCUCUCCUAUCUCUACCCUACCAUUACUCAUCAUCAUCCUCCCCUAACCACCUCUUCUGCUUUCAUGCCGCAUGCAUUCAUUGUGUGAAGCUUUGUACAAGGAGUGGCACUAUUAAGAGGUGUGGCCUUUUUGGAGUAGGUGUGGCCUUGUUGAAGGAAGUGUGUCAUGGGGGUGGAGGGUGGGCUUUGAGACCCUUAUCCUAGCUACCUGGACGUCAGUCUUCUUCUAGUUGCCUUUGGAACAAGAGGUGAAACUCUCAGCUCUUCCAGCCCCAUAUCUACCUGGACCAUGCCAUGCUCCCACCAUGACGAAAAUGGACUGAACCUCUGAACCUGUAAAACAGCCCCAGUUAAAUGUUGUCCUUUAGAAGAGUUACCUUGGUUAUGAUGUCUGUUCACAGUGGUAAAACCCUAAGAAACAUUCCAUUACUGUCUCCUAUCUUUUCUUUCUUAUUGCCUUAAGUUCUUUUCUUCUCUAGGGUUGGAGAGAUAGCUCAGUGGUUAUGAGACCUGUAUGCUUUUGCACAGGACCCAAGUUUGGGUUCCCAGAACCCAGAAGGAGGCUUACCACAAUCAUUAACUCUACUUCCAGGGGAUCCAGUGUCCUCUUCUGGCUUACAAAGGUAUUAAGCAAGCAUGCAAUGCAGACACACACGUGCUAGCAGACACUAAUACACGUAAAAUAAAUCUCUUUCUAGAAAUCUCUUCUUCCUUUUCAUGGUCCCCUUUCUAGAUUCAUGACCCACAUCCUCACUUUACCCCACACACAUAUAAAUUAAAAUCUAGACUCCACAUAUGAGAGAAAAUAGUAUUCAUCUUUCUGUGUCUUGUUUACUCAGCAAUUUCCAUUUUCAUCCAUUUUCCACAUAUGUCCUGGUUUUAUUUUCUUUCAAACUGUAUAAAGUUCCAUUGUAUAUCUGUAUCACACUUACCUUGGUCAUUCAUCUAUUGCUGGUUAUCUGGACUGCUCUCAUUUUGAGUUACACUGCUGGGUCAUGUAGUAGUUUCAGCAGUCCACCAGUAGGGGGAGGCUGCUGGCUUAAGUGUGGCUUCAUGCCACACCCUGCCUCUAACUUUAGAGUCCCUGGUCAGGUCUCCACAGCCAUUGUCUCUCUUCAUCCCACUGUUUGUCAUAGUCAUUGUUUUGUUGCUGUGAAGAGACAACAUGAUGGAAGAAAUGCUUAUAAAAAGAAAGCCUUUCAUUGGGGGCUUGCUUACAGUUUCAGAAGCUUUGUCCCUAUCAUCAUGGCAGGGAGCAUGGUGACAGGCCUGGCAGGCAGAGAACUGAAGAAGUGGUUGAGAGCUGCAUCUUGAUCCACAGGCAGGGGAGAGGAGAGUAGGCCUGGUGUGGGUUUUUUAAAACCUCAAAGUCCAUUCCCAGAAACACGCUUCUUCCUACAAAGCCACACCUCUGAAUUUUUCUAAUCCUUUCCAAGAGUUUCACUCCAUUAUGACUAAGCGUCAAAAUAUAUGAAUCUAUAGGAGCCACUCUUAUUCAAACCAUCAAACUCUUCUUGCAGCACCUGUGUCCAGCAGGGGACAACACCUCCCUGGCAGCUUCUAUUUAUGCCAUCUUGUGUGAGCAGUGGGGUUGUAGCUAAGCAGAAGUUGGUGUACCACUCUCUUAUCUUCCU
rnacentral:lncRNA from 1 species